rnacentral:rRNA from 1 species
CUACUCCUACGGGAGGCAGCAGUAGGGAAUCUUCGGCAAUGGACGAAAGUCUGACCGAGCACGCCGCGUGAGUGAAGAAGGUUUUCGGAUCGUAAAACUCUGUUGUUAGAGAAGAACAAGGAUGAGAGUAAAAUGUUCAUCCCUUGACGGUAUCUAACCAGAAAGCCACGGCUAACUACGUGCCAGCAGCCGCGGUAAUA